UACAGAGGGGGGCAAGCGUUUGUUCGGAAUUACUGGGCGUAAAGGGCGCGUAGGCGGCCUUCUAAGUCGAACGUGAAAUCCCUGGGCUUAACCCAGGAACUGCGUCCGAUACUGGAAGGCUUGAAUCCGGGAGAGGGAUGCGGAAUUCCAGGUGUAGCGGUGAAAUGCGUAGAUAUCUGGAGGAACACCGGUGGCGAAGGCGGCAUCCUGGACCGGUAUUGACGCUGAGGCGCGAAAGCCAGGGGAGCAAACGGG
rnacentral:rRNA from 1 species